rnacentral:pre_miRNA from 7 species
UUCUUGGGGUUCUGGGUGCCCCCAAAAUCCAGGACGAGCCCCCAAAAUGUAGGAUCCCAAAUUUAGAGACCCCCACUCUAGUCCAGGAACAGGAAGCACCCACGAACACAAGAAUCC